rnacentral:sRNA from 1 species
GCCUAGCCCUGAUAGAAGUGGAAAUCCUUUUGUGCCGGUCCCGAGGCUUCGGGAGGCACAAAAGAUUGAAACGUCCCGAAGCUUCGGGAGCAGGAAAUAGC